rnacentral:rRNA from 1 species
UACAGAGGUCUCAAGCGUUGUUCGGAAUCACUGGGCGUAAAGGGUGCGUAGGCGGCAUGGUAAGUCAGAUGUGAAAGCCCGGAGCUCAACUUCGGAACUGCAUCCGAUACUGCCGUGCUUGAGAACUGGAGGGGAGUCUGGAAUUAAUGGUGGAGCAGUGAAAUGCGUAGAUAUCAUUAGGAACACUAGUGGCGAAGGCGAGACUCUGGACAGUUUCUGACGCUGAGGCACGAAGGCCAGGGGAGCAAACGGG